GGGGAUGUAGCUCAAUUGGUAGAGCAAUCGCAACGCUUGUGUUAGGUUCGGGGUUUGAUUCCUCCAUCUCCA
rnacentral:tRNA from 1 species